GCAGCUUCCUUAGUAGAGUGUGUAGUUAUAGGGGCAGUCUUCCUAUUCUGUUUUGUUUUUGUUUGGUAUCACCUGUUUAUUUCUUUGAUGCUCCAAGAAUAAGUGAUGCAAGGCACUCUACUAUUUGGGAAUCAGAUCUGCACUUCCUCAAGGACUUCUAAAUCAACAGAGGACUGCAAAGCCUUGGAGAGAGGGUUCUCAUCUUUCCCUUUACUGAGUGCUAUGCUAUACCCUGGCCAGGCUGUGCUCUGCGAAGCUCCUGGACAAGCUCUUCCCAGCAGGAGCAGCACCAAGGCAGAAAGCUGGUGCAGGACCCGCUUCCUGGAGACAGGGAGGAAGGAAACCCUAAGGAAGGAAGAUUAACAACGCUCUGAGUCAUGACCAAACUCUCAGCCGGCCUCCAGCAGAACGUGUCCUGCUCACCGUCACUGGGGUUUAGGGCAAAUUGCAGCAGACGCCCCUGACUGGGCCAUCUCAUGUAGUGUGAAGAAAUUGCUCCUGUUUUCACUCAGUGUUCUAUAAUUUAGCUGUUUUUAAAGAUGGUCGUCUAGGUGACAUAUACUGUCAUGGCCUACUGAGGAAAUUUUAUCCAUGAGCACAAGUCAGCACAAAAGGCAACGUGACAAAGGCCAUGCUAUUGCUGAUACAUCAUCAUGUUUUGAUGUACCGUUGUGGCUGGUGGCUUCAGCCACCCCCUGAGAGAUUCUGAAAGUUAGACCAAAAGAGCAUUGUGGUGUUUCAGAAGCACACUGCCAGACUAAGAAGAGACUGAUGAGAUUUUGUGUCCUGAAUUCAUUCAGUGUGUAUACAAGGUCCUUCCUUCACUGAUGUUCUUGUUUUGAUGAUCGGGAACAUUCAGUGACUUCUAGCUUGAACUGUUCCAUGAGG
rnacentral:lncRNA from 7 species